UUGACCUCGGAUCAGUAGGGAUACCCGCUGAACUUAAGCAUAUCAAUAAGCGGAGGAAAAGAAACCAACAGGGAUUGCCUCAGUAACGGCGAGUGAAGCGGCAACAG
rnacentral:rRNA from 1 species